GACGGAGGGUGCUAGCGUUGUUCGGAAUGACUGGGCGUAAAGGGCGCGUAGGCGGCCGCUUGCGUCGGAUGUGAAAGCCCGGGGCUCAACCCCGGAACGGCAUCCGAUACGGGGCGGCUCGAGACCGAGAGAGGUGAGUGGAAUACCCAGUGUAGAGGUGAAAUUCGUAGAUAUUGGGAAGAACACCGGUGGCGAAGGCGGCUCACUGGCUCAUAUCUGACGCUCAGGCGCGACAGCGUGGGGAUCAAACAGG
rnacentral:rRNA from 1 species